rnacentral:rRNA from 1 species
UUCGCCCUCGUCUACUACACCGCCGGCAUCUCCGGCAGGCACAUCAACCCGGCAGUGACCUUCGGGCUGUUCCUGGCGAGGAAGCUGUCGCUGACUCGGGCGGUGUUCUACAUCAUCAUGUAGUGCCUGGGCGCCAUCUGCGGCGCCGGCGUGGUGAAGGGGUUCCAGCAGGGCCUGAACAUGGGCAACGGCGGCGGCGCCAACGUGGUGGCGCCCAGCUACACCAAGGGCUCCGGCCUCGGCGCUGUGAUCAUCGGCACCCUCGUCUACACUGUCUUCUCCGCCACCGACGCCAAGAGGAACGCCAGGGACUCCCACGUUCCCAUCCUUGCCCCGUCGCCAAUCGGGUUCGCGGUGUUCCUGGUCCACCUGGCCACCAUCCCCAUCACCGGCACCGACAUCAACCCGGCGAGGAGCCUCGGCGCGGCUAUCAUCUACAACAGGGAGCACGCCUGGUCAGACCACUGGAUCUUAUGGGUCGGCCCCUUCAUCGGCACCACGCUGGCCGCCGUCUACCAGCAGGUGGUCAUCAGAGCGAUCCCAUUCAAGACCAAGUCCUAA